UUUACCUUCUCUAGUUUAUAUUUUGUUUUGAGGUUUAAUUAUUUUACAUAGGUUCUUUACUACUUUCCCUGGUAGCUUCCCAAAAUUCUUAGUCAUUUAAACUACAGGUACUUUAAUGCUAUAUAGCGAGGUGUUGAGAAUGAAUGUUUCGUGCGAGCAUUAGCAUAUAUGAUCGGAUUAGGCUUAGAAAACAGAGUUAAUCUACUG